UCCUAGCCCGGAUAACAGUGGAAAUCCUUUUCUAAAAGCUUCAAGCCUUUUGAGGGCUGAAAGGUUUUAGAAAAGAUUGUAGCGGUUAGCCGGAAAAAGC
rnacentral:sRNA from 1 species